AGAGCUUUGGUUACUUUCUGAGCAUAAAUGAAGAGAGAGAUGUUUGAGCAGUUAGCUUUAUUAGAGGCUGAGAAUUUGUCUUCUUAUCAACCGCUAGAAAAGCAAUAUAAAGACAACUAAAAAACUAGAGUCACCGGUGGAGUGAAGAUGGCAUUAGCAUAUUUGAACUUCCAAUUUGGACAAUGUAGGCCAAUUUAUACCUGAAUCGGGUUGUAAUCAAACUCUAACCCUCCUACCGACAAAAAAUUUGGUAGAGAAGAUAGUACAAGAAUGGAAGCAAGGUUAAAUCUCAUUAGAUGCAGAUCUUGUUUGGUGGACACAGCAAUUGACGCAAACACUUUGGAGAUUUCUGAAAAAUGGGCUGACCCACAGUUUCCCAGCGUCCUCAACACGGCCAUCAUUAUUCCAUUGCCCUCCAUAAAGAUUUUUUCACCCUUGGUCACUGUUUUACAUUAUUUGUUAUUAUAGCUCAUUAUUUCAAUUGGGUUUGGGAAGAUUGAAAGUUACCCACUUCGUGAAAUUUUGAUCUGAAUAUUGAAACUUUACUACUGAAAAGGCGUUAUGGGGGUUUGAAGGUUGAAAAUGGAGAAAGAUUAGUCUUUAAAUGGGAAAAUCUUUGGCGCAAUCUACGGAAGGAGACAAGCGUGAUGGUUUUAAUUGUUCACAGUACAGUCUCCACUCUUUAUUCUUCCCCACCAUUCCAACCAUAUCCUUAUCUUUCUCUUACCUACUUUCU